UGCAAGUCGAGCGAAUGGAUUAAGAGCUUGCUCUUAUGAAGUUAGCGGCGGACGGGUGAGUAACACGUGGGUAACCUGCCCAUAAGACUGGGAUAACUCCGGGAAACCGGGGCUAAUACCGGAUAACAUUUUGAACCGCAUGGUUCGAAAUUGAAAGGCGGCUUCGGCUGUCACUUAUGGAUGGACCCGCGUCGCAUUAGCUAGUUGGUGAGGUAACGGCUCACCAAGGCAACGAUGCGUAGCCGACCUGAGAGGGUGAUCGGCCACACUGGGACUGAGACACGGCCCAGACUCCUACGGGAGGCAGCAGUAGGGAAUCUUCCGCAAUGGACGAAAGUCUGACGGAGCAACGCCGCGUGAGUGAUGAAGGCUUUCGGGUCGUAAAACUCUGUUGUUAGGGAAGAACAAGUGCUAGUUGAAUAAGCUGGCACCUUGACGGUACCUAACCAG
rnacentral:rRNA from 1 species